rnacentral:snRNA from 1 species
AGCUUUGUGCUUUGGCAGUAUUGUAGCCAAUGAGGUUUUUUCCGAGGUGCAACUAUUGCUAAUUAAAAACUUAAGAAAAUAUCACACCACAUUAAAAAACGCAUCAAGGAGUUAAUAUGCCAUGAUUGAGUGGUUUUUAUCCCAGGAAUGCAAGAUUGGGUCAACAUACACAAAU